GGCGCGCUCUGCCGUGCGGGGCGGAGCUCCCUGGAGCGGAGGUGGAGCCACCGAGCCCGGCGGAGCCGACCCGCCCUACCCACCCGAGGUGCCGAGCGAGGGGAGGAGCGGCGCCCGGACCCCGCGCUGGCGGAGCGCCCUCCAAGGGAAUCUGGCCUUAAUGUGAUAGAAAGACUCUUGAUCUUGGUGUCCAAAAGACAAAGGUUUGAAUUUCAGCUCCGUUAGUUUUACUGUGAUCUUGGCUGGAUGUCACGAUGACAACAGUAACGGGGACCGCGACAGUGCCCCAGAGGGGGAAGACGGAAGAUGAUUCUGCCUUGUACGAGUCCCCAUCAGCUCACAUUACUGAAGAGACCGAAUACGUGAGAAAGAUUCGAACUACUCUGGAAAAGAUCCGAAAUCAAAUAUUUAGAGAUGAAGUAAGACAUAACAGUACAAAUCACAACCUAGAUGCAAAGCGCUGUGGAAACAUUCAAAAUGGCUCUGACUCUGCAGUGGAUUCCUCUGGUGGCAGUUUGGAUCCGCUCAUGGAAAGGAUAAAAGGAAAAGACCUACAGCUCUUAGAAAUGAACAAAGAGAAUGAAGUGUUGAAAAUCAAGCUCGAAGCCUCCAGAGAAGCAGGAGCAGUGGCUCUGAGAAAUGUGGCCCAGAGAUUAUUGGAAAACUAUCAAACACGGUCUGAAGAAGUUAGAAAGAAGCAUGAGGACAGGAGACACCUCCUCCAGGUUGACAAACUUGAAAAAGAACAGAAAUUGAAACAACAUGUUGAAAAUCUGGAUCAAAUUGCUGAAAAGCUUGAAGAAAAACAUAAGCAAAUCACAGAGUUGGAGAAUCUUGUACAAAGAAUGGAAAAGGAAAAGAGAACACUGCUAGAAAAAAAACUGUCUUUGGAAAACAAGCUGCUGCAUCUCAAAUCCAACGCUACAAAUGCUAAAAGUUGCCAGGAUCUUCAAAAGGAGAUUUCCCUCCUCCAGGAGCAGAUCUCACAUCUGCAGUUUGUGAUUCACUCCCAGCAUCAGAACCUGCGCAGUGUCAUCCAGGAGGUCAGGUUGAUCAAGUGUGUUUCUCUGGCAGAUGGUAUGUUUACAGCGAGAAGACCAAAUACACGCGCCUUGUCUGGACUCUGCAACUGAGAUUCUUCUCCCCACUGACGUUUCCUUUUUAUUCCCAUGAGACAUGGCUCUGUUUUCAGUGUCCUCUUUUGUCUCUUUGCCCACACCUGUGAUGUUCUCAAUGAACAUAUUUGGAAAAUUAUAUUUACUCUUUAGAGGUUUCAGUGAUUUUUUUUUUUUUUUACAGUGUUCUGAGCCAGGUAAUGUACACUGUUCUUUAGAAGAUUUUUUAGAUUAAGAGAUUCAGCCUUCUUAGGGAAGAAAUGAUCUAUUUUCAUUAUUUCAUGAAAAACGGUUAAUUUACAUAGUGGGUGUGUUAGCACAGGGAUGCGUUCGGGCCCUUCUUCACUGGAAACAUCUCGGCAGGUGAAAGAGGUCAUUGUGAUGGCAGCCAGAUGGAUGGUAAAUUACACAUUCAAUUUACGUCAAUAUUUAUAUUGAUCUGAUUUGGGAAUUUGCUUUAGACUUAAAACCAGACCUUCAUUUUUGUUUGCUAUAUAAUAUUCGUUUCUAAAUGGAGUCCUUCCAAAUAAUGCAAAUGCCUUUCUAACACAAUUGCAGAAUUUGUACUUGGUUGGCUAGAUCUCACCAAAAGGCCAAAGAGUUGAAUCGUGGCAAUUUGAGAGCCAGGGAGGAUGGAGGGGGCAUCCCAUUUUACAGAUGAGAAGGCUGAGGUCCACAGUAGUUAAAUGGCAGAAGUGGCCUUGGAAUCCACAUACUUCCUCUCUCAUGGCAUCAUCCUGGACUUCAUCACCCCACCUCCCCAUCACCCCCACGUUGCCUCUUAGCAGAUGUUCCUCCAAAGCAAAGUGGACUUACCUUAACAUGCUGCUGGUUGACCAGAUCUCCGUUGCAGGGAGUCGCCCUGUGCCAGGCUGUGGCUUUCCACCAUGUCCACCAGCCUCUGCUUCUGCAGGAGGAAAGCAUUAUGGGACUGAGUCACAGACAAGGACCCGUGUUGCUUCCUACAGGAUGCAUCCUGCUGAGCUUGGCUUAAACAGAUGGAGGCCUUAAAAAAUAAUUUGAAAGAACAAGAUAAGAGAAUUGAAGAUCUGCAAGAAAAAGUUAACAUACUGGAAGCCCAG